CAGGCUAGUCUCGAACUCCUGGCCUCAAGCAGUCCUCCUGCCUUGGCCUCGCAAAGUGCUGGGAUUACAGACAUGAGCCACCAUGCCCUGCCUAGAGCAUACGUUUUCUGAAACGAUACAGGAAGAUGAAGUUGUUGCCAUCCCAACCCCCCAACCCCUCAAGCAGGCAGCUAGUCACCUGUACAAAAUACAGGUAUAUAUAAUAUAUAAAAUGUAAAUAUAAAUGUAUAUAGUGUGUAAAAUGUAUGUAUAUAAUGUAUAAAAUACAGUCACCUGUAUAUUAGAGUCCCUUACAGCCCCACAUGGGGAUUCCCCAUUAUUGUGCUCUUUCUCCCAUCCUUUGUAUUCUGAAAAUUUUCGAAUCUGUAGAAGAAUUGAAAUAACAGUAAAAUGAACACCCAUUUCCCCUUUGUCUAAAGUUACCAAUUCAUAACGUUUUGCUACACUUACCUCACUUGUCCUUUUAAUGUCAUUCAUAAUUUCUUUCUGCAUCACAUUCUAGGGGGCAGAGAAGGGUCACUCAUUGCUUUUUGAUGUCCUGUCUCUUUAGCCUCCUUUAAUACAGAACAGUUCCUCUACCUAUUUUUCGGUCCUUUAUAGCCUACACAUUCUGAAGAGUCAAGGCCACUUGUGUACACAAUUUGGAUUUUUGAUUGUUUCCUCAUGAAUAGGUUCAAAUAUUUUGACAAGACCCCUCUAAAGGUGAUAUUGUGACUUUGUUGGAUUUUACAUAUCAACUGGUAACAAAUGUAGAUGCAGUUUUAGCAAUAAGAAAAAUUUGUUUUUUCUGUGUGAAAUUGUUGUAUUUAGAGAUCUGUGCUAAUAGUAGUACCCAGUUUAGUCUUGUGUUGUCUUUUUAAAAAUGCAGUGUUUCACAUUAAGCCUUCCCUUUUACUUUAUUGAGAGUCUAAGGAAAUGCAGGAUGUCAUUUGUGCUAUCCUGUAAUAAACUUUUUCCUUAAAGAUUAUUUGAAAUCAACCACACUGUCUCAAAAUGAGGAGUGCUAUUUCUCAAGAAUGCUCAAGGCUUUUGCUAUUCACAUGGGCUUGUUGCAGUUAUAGAUGUCGCCCUCAGAGACGGGGAAUGAGUUCCUAUUAAAGACCUGUGUUUGGCCGGGGCAGGUUUACGGUUGACUGCUUCCUCACACCAAAAUUCAGCCAUUUCUUUCCUUUGUGCUAAGAAAACAUUGAACUUUAUUUCCAGUAAAGGCUACUUUACUAAAAACGUAUCCUCCAAGUCAGUUUCUAGCCUUUUAGUUCUGUGAUUGCAUGUUACCUACAUUAUUUUAUUAGAGUCCGUUACAGACAGUUUCAUUAGUUUAACUUGAAUUAUUAUCUUCUACCUAAUUACAUGGCUUUUGUUUCUUUCAUUUUACCCCACUCCAGAUUUAAGGGCCAAGACAUGUAAAGUUAAUAUUGGUCAUUUUUCAAAGUAAGUUAAAAUGUCAAAAAGCAACAAGUUGUUAUUCUUACAGGGUACCAGGGAAACAACAGAGACAAAACCUCCAUCUUUUAUUCAUAAGUCCAGAGAGACUACGAGGGCGCAGGCAGGCCUGUGUGCCGGGCGUUUGUUCAGCUUUCAGGACUGGGCCUCCUCCCCUGCUGGCCAUGAAAUGUCAUGCCGAGAUGUAAUAGUGGGACAUUCAGCAUCCAGAGAAUGGUCCGCAGAGAUUCAACUUUGCUUUUCAUUUUCUUUUCUGGCACCAAGUCCACAGUCCCCUCUGUGGCCUGACAGUGAAAGGCCAGAAAGCAGCGAUUUAGAUGCUGGCAGGAAUGGUGUGCAGCCUCUGCCCAGCGGGCCGGAGCUCCUGGGCUGGAAUGCAUGCUGGACACAAAGAUGAGGAUUCCAUGGCACAAAGAGCCAGGAAGGGAUUAAGAUGAGAAUCCUUGUGACUCGGAGAGGCCUCUCUCUGCCAGAAACCGGAGCUGCAGAGUUCUUACCCUGCCCAUGCCCCCAGCAGUCGGGCUUGCCCUGCCUUCCAAGCACCCUGUCUCAGAUGGACGGCUGCCAUGUGCAACAAAGCAACUAAUGGGGGGUGGAAAGAGGCGAGACUAGACAGCACUUUGGAGAUAAUUAAAUUAAACUCAGAUUAGGCAAUUACCCCAAAGAUUCCCAAACCUGGCUGAACACCAGAAUCACCUGAGGAGCAUUCUUGGAGUGGGGGGAGAUUCCGGGCCUCACCCCAGACCUGCUUAAGUGGGAUUUCCAGGGGAAGGCCAGGAAUCUGAGUUUUUAAAAAAGCUGCCAGAUUAGUGAUUGCCAGGGUUUUGGAGGGAUGGAGGGAGGGCUUGACUACCAAGGGGCAGUACAAGGGAAUUUUUUGGGUUGAUGGGACUGUUCUGUAUACUGAUUAUAGCAGUGGAUACAUACAUAUAUAUGCAUAUAACUUGUGGACCCAUACACCAAAAACUGUCAAUUGUACUGUGUAAAUAAAAAUAAAUAUGCUGCCCAGGUGAAACUGAGUUAUCUAGGUGUCAGUUGAGAUGGCCUGUGGUGCCUGGUGACAGCUGGGAAGAGCUGCCCAGCUAUGAGAGAGUGUCACCUGUUAUUGCAGAGGCAGGCGUGGGCAGGUGCUGAACUCUUUAGCCCAGUGCUAUCCAACAGAACUUCCUGUGACAAAAAAUGUUCUUCCCAGCACCGUUCAAUUCAGUAACCAUCAACCACUUUUGGCUACUGAGUACCUGAAAUGUGGCUAGCACAACUAAGGAACUGAAUGUUUAAUUUUACUUAAACUUAAUUUAAAUUUAAAUCAUCACACAUGGCUAGAGGCUACCCUAUUGGACAGCUCACCCUCAAAGGUAGACAUGGUGAUAUCAUGGAGCUUUGGCUCUGUGCAGGAUGCACACCGUGGUACUUUAUACUCGAGGGACAAUAGUAAGUCAUCCCAAACAUUGGGUAAAAUGGAAACAUGGACAGGACUUACCAAUAUGGGUAAGUACAGAGAAGAAGGAACCUUGGGAUGAAGACUCACCUGAGAUCUGCCCAGGCAGAGGACAAUUCUGCCGAGUGAAGGAAUCGGCUUUUUUUUUUUUUUUUGAGAUGGAGUUUCGCUCUUGUCACCCAGGCUGGAAUGUAAUGGCGUGAUUUCAGCUCACUUCAACUUCCACCUCCUGGGUUCAAGCGAUUCUCCUGCCUCAGCCUCCCAUGUAGCUGGGAUGACAGACAAGUGCCACCACACCCAGCUAAUUUUUGUAUUUUUCACCAUGUUGGCCAGGCUGGUCUUGAACUCCUGACCUCAGAUGAUCGGCCCGCCUUGGCCUCCCAAAGUGCUAGGACUACAGGCGUGAGCCACCACGCCUGGCCAGGAAUCUGCUUUUUCUUCUCCAAAGAUAGCACCAUCUUUGGCCCACUUCCUUCCCCAACCUUCCAACCUUGUUCAUUUUAAAAGGUGCAGAGGUUAGUUGGGAUGCUCUUGAAUUAUGCUCCCAUUCUUCUGCAGUGAUAGGAUAUACAGGAAGCCAUCAGAGGGGCCAGGUGAGCUCAGUGCAGAGAGGUGGGGAUGUUCUGGGCUUCACUGGGCCCACCUGCCUCCCUAGACAGAGUGUGAUGAAGAAUCUGUGUGGGCAUAUUGUAUUCCUUUUUGGGGAAGGAGAGCAUAUAAAAAAGGCAAUUAGGCAUAAACUUCCUGCUUUAUGCUUUGAGCACAUGACCUUUACCUUGGCUUGUGUUCAGACGCUCCUAAACCCACCUCCUCGACCCCCAUUGAUUUAUGUUAUCUUAGUGUUACUUUUCCAAAUGUGUUAUAAAAGAAUGAGAUUCAGGGAGUGUGGACUUUUAUUAGUACAAACCAAAUGGUGGCAGAAAGAAUGUUCCAAUUUGUAAACAUAUGUGUUCUUAAAUAAAUUUGCUAAAUGGGUAACAAAAAA